UAAGGAAUAUUGGUCAAUGGGCGAGAGCCUGAACCAGCCAUGCCGCGUGCAGGAAGACGGCCUUAUGGGUUGUAAACUGCUUUUAUCGGGGAAUAAACCUAUCUACGUGUAGAUAGCUGAAGGUACCCGAAGAAUAAGCAUCGGCUAACUCCGUGCCAGCAGCCGCGGUAAUACGGAGGAUGCAAGCGUUAUACGGAUUCAUUGGGUUUAAAGGGUGCGCAGGCGGAUUGGUAAGUCAGUGGUGAAAUUCAACGGCUCAACUGUUGAUCUGCCAUUGAUACUGUCAGUCUAGAGUAUAGUUGGAGGGGGCGGAAUGUGUCAUGUAGCGGUGAAAUGCUUAGAUAUGACACAGAACACCGAUCGCGAAGGCAGCUCACUAAGCUAAAACUGACGCUCAUGCACGAAAGCGUGGGGAUCAAACA
rnacentral:rRNA from 1 species